rnacentral:rRNA from 1 species
GAUGAACGCUGGCGGCGUGCCUAAUACAUGCAAGUCGAGCGAACGGACGAGAAGCUUGCUUCUCUGAUGUUAGCGGCGGACGGGUGAGUAACACGUGGAUAACCUACCUAUAAGACUGGGAUAACUUCGGGAAACCGGAGCUAAUACCGGAUAAUAUUUUGAACCACAUGGUUCGAAGGUGAAAGACGGUCUUGCUGUCACUUAUAGCUGGAUCCGCGCUGCAUGAGCUAGUUGGUAAGGUAACGGCUUACCAAGGCAACGAGGCAUAUCCGACCUGAUAGAGUGAUCGGCCACCCUGGAGGUGAGCCACCGUCAAGACGCCUAAGGGAGGCACCAGAAGGGAACCUGCGGCAAUGGGGGAAAGCCUUACGGAGUAACGGGGAGCGAGUGAUGAAGGUGUUCGGAGCGGAAAACUCGGUUAUUAGGGAAGAACAUAUGUGUAAGGAACUGUGCACAGCUUGACGGUAAUGAAUCAGAAAGCCACGGCUAACUACGUG